rnacentral:pre_miRNA from 1 species
UAUAUACUCCCUCCGUUCGGAAUUACUUGUCGCUAAAAUGGAUGUAUGUAGAACUAAAAUACGUCUAGAUACAUCCAUUUCUGCGACAAGUAAUUCCGAACGGAGGGAGUAGCUU